CAUCUUACCGGGCAGCAUUGGA
rnacentral:miRNA from 1 species